UGGUUGCUGGGAACUGAACCUAGGCCCUCUGCAACAGCAACAAGUGCUCUUAACUGCUGAGCCAUCCUUCCAGCUCCACCUUUCCCAGAAAUCCUAAAAUCUGUUUUCAAAUUCUUGAAUCAAAUCAGAAAGCAAGGUUAUAUUUUUCAGCGUCCAUAGGAUUCUGUCUAGCCAACACACUGAAAUGUGUAAACAUCUUUGCCUUCAUUUGGGAUUGCCAAAUUUCAGUUUUAUUUGAAAUGCUUGCUGUGAUUUAUAUUUUAACAUUAUAUUGAUAUCAUAUAUUAAUAUUAUGUUGCUAAGUUGGUUUCUACCUUGAAGACAGAUGUUUGAGUCCCUCAAGUGAGCAGAGUCCACUAAAAAUGCAAACUAUGUAAGUCCGGUGUUAUCAUCUAGGUCUGGCACAAAUUUUGUUUUGAAGCCAUAAAUAAUGUGGUAACACCAUUGCAAACCAUUAAACCUUUUCAACAUUCGGCCUUGACUUAACUCUUGAAAAGUAAAUGAUGUCACCAUGAAUGAUGUCUGCAUCAACGCAUGAAAGGAAUUCCUACAAUGGACAAUGACCACGUACCUGCUUGGCCCUUGUGAAAUUUGGCCUUGGUGAAGAUUUGCACGACAUCAUCAUUUUUUAGUGCUUUGGGGCAUAAAUUUUCUUUCUUUUAAAAUUAUGAGGAUUUCAUACAUGUCAUCUCCAUCCCCAACCCCUACUUCCAGCUCUUCCAAGGACCCCUACAUUACUCUUCCAACUUUAUUCCUUCAUUUUUUGGUAACUCGAGACCAGUUACUGCUGACCACAUGUACGUGGGGGUAGGGCCAUCCACUGAAGCAUGGACAACCUACCAGGGACUACAACCCUGAAGAAAAUGUAUGGCCGCUCCCCUUACUUCAUUAAAUCUCACAUCGCUCUCCCUCGAGACUCCAAGGCUUUGGAAUAGUACAAACCUGAUUUGGGGCCAUCCUACUUCAGUGCUCAGUGACAUCUCCUCCCCCACACUUGUGUCUUCAAGUUCUAUGCUUCUUCCUAUAACCCUUUACGCUACGGCUUGGCUGUUUGAAUUUACAGGAUUCAAAGAUGAUGACUGAGCAGAAAUAUACACAGCUAAGAGUUUUUUUCUUUCCCCUAAGACAUACAAUGAACAUAAAACCGAGGCUACGUUUCCCUUCGAGACUGCUCUCAAAUGACAGUCUCCUCCAUCCUCUUAACCUUUCACAUUAUUUCUGAAGCCAUUUCAUCCUCCGUCGAAAAUGCCAACCUAAAAAUAAGCAAUCUCCCUGAAAAGGAUCCAGAUGGAAACAGAAAAGUAUGUACACACUCAUUCAGUCUGAAAAACAUUUUCUAUAUUUGCUGUCCGACUUACGUUGUUUCUCUUCAUUUCUGCCUCAUCACAGAGGGGUGCUGGAGACGCAGAGAAAUGUUCGGACCCACUGAAACAAAAUUCAUUUUCCAAGGCUUUUGAUUCCAGGUGGUAAUCAUUUAUUAGGGCCCUUUAGAAGUUCAAGAGUAUAUUGAAAAUGAAUGUGAUUUAUAUAUUUUAUUUAAUUGAGCUGAAAUUUCAGCUAAUUAUGUAUAUUCUUAAGAAGCAAACAUUUUGUUUCAAGCAGCUGGGAAGUGAAGGCUUUAUCAAGCUCACCUGGCAAAUUCCCUAAUUCUUUGGCUCUAAGAAUGAGGAAGACUUUCGAAGACAGGACUGCUGCUCCUUAGACACAGAUAACCAGACCAUGAGAACGGUAUGAAAGCACUAAAUUAUAAGCAGAGUGAGAAAUGCAAAUACCAGACUAACUGCGAUCUGUAAUAAGCUGAUAUUUUUAAAAUUCUCUUUUUAGAAGAGAGAACAACAUCCACAGAUAUACAUACACACACAUUGACAUCAGAAGGGACGUUGUGCUUGUUGUCAAGGAGUCUUUGAUGUCAGUUCACAUUCAUCUCGAACACCUACGUCUUUCUUAUCUAUAGCCCCAUCUAAGGGCAACUGGUCUCCAGAAUGAGAAAUGUGAGACACCACAAGAUGUUGAAUCACUAAGGAAAAAAAUAGCACUUAUAUUUUGUACCAAGGUAGGUCAACUUUCUGUGCUAUAUUAGGACAUUUAUCAGAAUAAAAAAUUGAUA